rnacentral:rRNA from 1 species
AGAGUUUGAUCAUGGCUCAGGAUGAACGCUAGCGGGAGGCCUAACACAUGCAAGCCGAGCGGUAUUGUUUCUUCGGAAAUGAGAGAGCGGCGUACGGGUGCGGAACACGUGUGCAACCUGCCUUUAUCUGGGGGAUAGCCUUUCGAAAGGAAGAUUAAUACUCCAUAAUAUAUUGAACGGCAUCGUUUAAUAUUGAAAGCUCCGGCGGAUAGAGAUGGGCACGCGCAAGAUUAGCUAGUUGGUGAGGUAACGGCUCACCAAGGCGAUGAUCUUUAGGGGGCCUGAGAGGGUGAUCCCCCACACUGGUACUGAGACACGGACCAGACUCCUACGGGAGGCAGCAGUGAGGAAUAUUGGUCAAUGGGUGCAAGCCUGAACCAGCCAUCCCGCGUGAAGGACGACUGCCCUAUGGGUUGUAAACUUCUUUUGUAUAGGGAUAAACCUACCCUCGUGAGGGUAACUGAAGGUACUAUACGAAUAAGCACCGGCUAACUCCGUGCCAGCAGCCGCGGUAAUACGGAGGGUGCAAGCGUUAUCCGGAUUUAUUGGGUUUAAAGGGUCCGUAGGCGGACUUAUAAGUCAGUGGUGAAAGCCUGUCGCUUAACGAUAGAACUGCCAUUGAUACUGUAAGUCUUGAGUAUAUUUGAGGUAGCUGGAAUAAGUAGUGUAGCGGUGAAAUGCAUAGAUAUUACUUAGAACACCAAUUGCGAAGGCAGGUUACCAAGAUAUAACUGACGCUGAGGGACGAGAGCGUGGGGAGCGAACAGGAUUAGAUACCCUGGUAGUCCAA